UACGUAGGGUGCAAGCGUUGUCCGGAAUUAUUGGGCGUAAAGAGCUCGUAGGCGGUUUGUCGCGUCGAAUGUGAAAACCCAGAGCUCAACCCCGGGCCUGCAUUCGAUACGGGCAGACUAGAGUUCGGUAGGGGAGUCUGGAAUUCCUGGUGUAGCGGUGAAAUGCGCAGAUAUCAGGAGGAACACCGGUGGCGAAGGCGGGACUCUGGGCCGAUACUGACGCUGAGGAGCGAAAGCGUGGGGAGCGAACAGG
rnacentral:rRNA from 1 species